ensembl:lncRNA
GUUUGACUUCUCGCCUCUCCUCUGUCCCAGCCUGCUCCGGCUCCACAGAUACCCUUUACAUGCCUUAUUUAAGUGGCCCAGAGACCUGGCUUCCGUCCAAGCGCAUGGGUCAUUUAUCUUUCUUCUCCAUCCACUCCUUCGGCUUUUGUCCCUGGCGCAGACCGAGCCGCGGCCUGAUAUUGCGUUUCGGGCUCCAUUGUCCUUCACAGAACAGGCACCAGAGAGGGCACCUGGGUGAAGAGAAGGACACUUAGAUUGGCAUUCGGAUGAUUGACGGGACAUGUGCAUAGCCUGGCCUGAUAUUCUACAAGUCAACAGGAAGUUGCAUCACCCUAGAGUUAAAUUUCCUGAAGAUCACCGGAAGAGGACAAAGCAAAGGAAAGCUCUCUCAUUCUUUUAUCUUUAUUUUCAGUGAUACUGUGAUCGACAAGGUCAACCCUGUUACCCGAAUUAUAGAUCGAAAGUAAAUUAUUAGAAUGUCCUUAAUGUCCACAUGCCAUUAAUUAGGCUGCCAUUGAUUUUUUCUAGAUUUGCUCAUUCUGAAAUGCUGAAUGCUGAAAACCUCGAC